CUAGGAAUGUGAUACAGAAAAUGGCUAUAAGCAGGCUAUCGACUUUAAACAUAAUUAGGGUAUAUCUGCUGCUACUUCAUGGAGGUGUAAUUAUGUUCGUAGUUUACAAUUUAAAGUUCGGAUUUUCGCAUACUCAUGUGAUACGUUCUAAUAAUAUAAAUGUGUUUCAAAAUGUGACAAGAACACCCGGAACGGUUGCAAGAGAGAGAAAUACGAAACACAUUCUGAUACCGCUUAUUUCUCAAGUAAAAAAUGUUUCAAAUUGGCCUUCUGUAGAAGCUGCGAAAAACAAAAGCCUUGUAGAAAAAUAUUCCACUCAUAUGAAACCAGCUGCAUUUUUGAAGUUCAGGAAUCAAGUCCAUAAAUAUAAAACAUUUAACGCUGAUACAUCUAUACUACUACACGAGGGUGAGACAACGAGUCACAUGUUUCAAGAUUGGAAAGGAAAAAAAGUCCGACCUAAACUCUCUCCCCGUUUGCCAGCACUUGAAUCAUGUGCCAUCGUUGGAAAUUCAGGCGUUUUACUAGAUAGUAAAUGUGGACGUGAAAUUGACGAACAUGAGUUCGUCAUCAGAAACAACAUGGCACCAACCACUGGAUUCGAGAAUGAUGUCGGGAAAAAAACUAGUUUGGUUUCAAUAAAUGGUGCAUUAGUUGUUCUUAUGACAAACUGUCUAAAGAAUAAGACAUGCGAACCUGAACUGAAGAAGAAAUUGAAAGAUAUUGAAGACGGUGCAAUCUUAUGGUACUCAAAAGUGUUCAGUCCCGCUGCUCGCCAGAAACAAUAUUAUGCGCUCUCAAAAUACAUAAGAAAUAACUCACUGUCUCUCCGUAUCGCUUUCCCUGCCAAUACCUUAACAACAACAUCAGGAAAUUGAACAAAGGACCAAUGAUACGCGCUUGUCCCACUUGUUUAAAUGAACGUAUUUACAUUCUGGAAAGUCAAGCAUGCUUCAUCGGGGUUAAUGAUGCUUUCAAUAGGGGCUACAUUUUGUAGAAACAUUACACUCUAUGGAUUUUAUCCAUUCCAGAAAUCUGCAAGUGGACGUCAACUAUCCUAUCAUUACUACGAUAAUGCCUCAUUCAAAAAUACUCAUGAUAUGAUAGGGGAACAUAAAAAAUUACAAGGGCUUAAUAAGGCAGGCGUACUUCGACUAAUUACUGAUAAGUGCAAUUAUACAUAGGUGUAUUACAGACUACGUAAAUGUGUUUAAAAUACAGAAUUUCUGAACUUACAUUUUUGAAUUACGUAAACUUGGCGAUUGUAAGCCUACUCUUUAAUUAUUCAGUGGCUUAUCCGAUGAUUCUGAAUUUCAUUCUUGGUUUUUCUCUUAUCAACAUGUGGAAGGUAGACCUAUUUUUACACUUGAUGUAUUUAUUGCACAUUCAAAACAUCAAAAAAUCACACAACAGCAGUCAAACAAAAAUUUACUGAAAAUGUUAUAUUUACAAGCAAAUUUUAAAAUUGCUAAAAAUUAAUCAAAUUUACGCAAAAAUGUCAAAAUUUCCAAUAUAAAAAAAUUACAUUUACAAAAAGAUUAUAGUUGCUAAUAAUUAAAUAAUUUCUUCUUCUUCUUCUUCUUCUUCUUCUUCUUCUUCUUCUUCUUCUUCUUCUAUGUACCAUGUCCCUACAGGACGUCGGCGAUCAUGGUUUUCCACAACACUUUGUCUUUUGUUUUUAUUAUUAUUAUUAUUUAUAUUUACAAGAAAAAAAUCAUAAUUCCAAUUAAAGUCACAUGAAAGCA